ensembl:snoRNA LOC120100227 small nucleolar RNA SNORD29
UUUCUGUGAUGAAUCAACUAGCUCACUAUGACUGCUAAUGAAAACACUGGAACACCUGAGAAAC